CGAAGGAUAGUCUAAUCAGGAUCCCAGCUUUGGGGGCUGGGGGUGGGGGUGAAAGUCCUCCUCCUUUGA
rnacentral:tRNA from 1 species